GUCGAAGGUGGGGCUGAUGACUGGGGUGAAGUCGUAACAAGGUAUCCGUACCGGAAGGUGCGGAUGGAUCACCUCCUAACAGGGAGACAAAACAAUGAUUUUGAUGUCUGAGUAUUUCAUUCUUAGGCCGAAAUCCUGUCACCUUAGGUCGAUCGGUACCUCAACAUUUUUCCAAAAAUUGGUGAGCAAUCAUCAAGAGAUUGGAAGGGAUGUUCAGUUCCUAAACUUUGUCUAGGUCACACCCCGCAAGGGAAGAGUCCCCUGGGCCAUUAGCUCAGGUGGUUAGAGCGCACCCCUGAUAAGGGUGAGGUCCCUGGUUCAAGUCCAGGAUGGCCCAUUCGAUGUUGGGGGUUUAGCUCAGUUGGUAGAGCGCCUGCUUUGCAAGCAGGAUGUCAGGAGUUCGAGUCUCCUAACCUCCACUGACAGAACUCAAUCUCCAUUGUCCGGUAACUCGGAGGAUGAACUCAAAGGUGUGUGAUUUAGAUGUGUCCACUAGAUAGGACCCUAGCUUCCUGUCAUCCCGAACAAGUGAUUAUUGCUUGAUUGGUUGAUAUGAUGCUGGGCUCAGAUUAAUCGAAAGAUUAAUCUGAUCUCUAGUAGAACCUUGACAACUGCAUAAGUAAGUCUGGAAAAACGAAGCAUCUUACAGAUGUAUUGUUUUAAGUCUGAAUUCU
rnacentral:misc_RNA from 1 species